rnacentral:miRNA from 1 species
AGAUGCGUCGAAGCGGACUGGAUC